GACGCUGGGAGAAGGACCCUGGGAGAGGCAAGGGAAGGGCUCCGGAACCAGCGCAGCAGCGGGACGCUAGCCCGCCCACACGGCGGCCACUUGAAGGUCCUCCAGGGAACACCUGAGGCAGUGGGAGCGUCUGCCCUUUCCUAAGUCUCCUUGGAAAGAAGUAUUCGCUUUCGUUUCCGCAAACAAAGCAUGCUCCGCGCUUUCAGGACCGGUGGCUCCCGUGGAGACCGCAGCGGAACCCAGUCCGCCUUCGCACGCGUCCGGGGGAGAAGCGGCCCCAGGACUAAGGGCGCGCGCCCGAGGAACCGGUGCUGUGACGACCAGAGCAAACACGCCGGAUGUUCCUGUGUAGGCUGUGUAAGGAGUGACCGGAAGUAGAAACUGGGUGCUCCAGUGGCGCAAUCGGUUAGCGCGCGGUACUUAUAUGGCAGUAUGUGUGCGAGUGAUGCCGAGGUUGUGAGUUCGAGCCUCACCUGGAGCAUUGUUUUCCAACCCAAAAUAGCAUUACUUGAAGUGCCUUUCCCCCUGUAAUCCGACUCCAUCGUCUUUAACGUGUUUGGAAUUGUGUACACAGUUUAUUGUUAUUGGUUUCCUUAGCCUUUUUAGAACCAAGCAACGCCAAUUACCAACAAAAUCCGUUGCGCCGCAGUGAGUUAGCUACCUUCUAUCUCCACUUUGUUCUGCACGUCGAUCUCAGGAGAAGCCAGCUCCCAUGUUAAGAAGUUCAAAUACCUAGAGACUGCGAUGGUUUGCAGAGGCUCAAGCUAACCACAUGGAAAGACAUGGAGAGAUAUUCCUUGCCAACCCUCAACUACUCCAACUAUUCUAAGACAUCAAACCUGUGAGUGAAAAAGCCAUCUCAUACCUUACAACUCUAGCAGAUGCCACAUAGUGUAGAGAUAAGCUCUCUCUGUCAUUCUCUGUCAAAAUUGUAAAAUCAUAAGCAAAUAAAUAAUCACAGUUGCUUCAAGUUACUACAUUUGAGCAUAGUAUUUUAAGCCACUGCAUUUGAGAUGGUUUGUUAUACAGCAAUAGAUAACUAAAAAACAAAGUCCCUUGAUUUAGACUUGUCCACUCAACUUGCUUGGCCAAUGGAAUGGGGUAGAAGUGAUGGUGUGCUUAUUCCCAGCCUGGGCCUUAAAAGGCUUUGCCUAUUUCCACUUGCCUUCUUGUACUUCUGCUAUUGUCAUAAGAAAAACAAACCGCAGGUCACCCACCGGUCUGAAGAGGAGGAUGAGAGACAAAGAAAAAAGUUGUCUGGCUGCCUCUGCUGUCUACAGAUUGAAGAAGAUCCAUCCAGCUGAGCCCAGCCUAGACCAGCUGACUUCUCCAAUAAGCCUGUAUGAAAUAAAUGCUUAUUGUUAUGUGACCUUGAGCUUUGAAGAUAGUUUGUUAUGCAAUAAUUGUUGAUUCUUUCA
rnacentral:lncRNA from 1 species